rnacentral:rRNA from 1 species
GACAGAGGAUGCAAGCGUUAUCCGGAAUGAUUGGGCGUAAAGCGUCUGUAGGUGGUUUAAAAAGUCUAUUGUUAAAAAUUGAAGCUUAACUUCAAAGAUGCAAUGGAAACUUUUAAACUUGAGUAUGGUAGGGGUAGAGGGAAUUUCCAGUGGAGCGGUGAAAUGCGUAGAUAUUGGAAAGACCACCAAUGGCGAAGGCACUCUACUGGGCCAUUACUGACACUGAGAGACGAAAGCUAGGGGGAGCAAAUGGG